GGUACCACUGAGCAUUAUUAUUUCCUACAUAGAGGAGAUUAGCAUGGCCACUGAGCAAGGAUGACACGCACAAAUCGAAAUAUAGUCCAAAUUUUG
rnacentral:snRNA from 1 species